UACAGAGGUCUCAAGCGUUGUUCGGAUUCAUUGGGCGUAAAGGGUGCGUAGGCGGCGCGGUAAGUCGGGUGUGAAAUCUCGGGGCUUAACUCCGAAACUGCAUUCGAUACUGCCGUGAUUGAGGACUGGAGGGGAGACUGGAAUUUACGGUGUAGCGGUGAAAUGCGUAGAUAUCGUAAGGAAGACCAGUGGCGAAGGCGGGUUUCUGGACAGUUCCUGACGCUGAGGCACGAAGGCCAGGGGAGCAAACGGG
rnacentral:rRNA from 1 species